GACGAACGCUGGCGGCGUGCCUAAUACAUGCAAGUCGAGCGAAGUUUUUCUGGUUCUUGCACUAGAAAAACUUAGCGGCGAACGGGUGAGUAACACGUAAAGAACCUGCCUCAUAGACUGGGACAACUAUUGGAAACGAUAGCUAAUACCGGAUAACAGUAUUUCUCGCAUGAGAGAUAUUUAAAAGUUGGUUAUGCUAACACUAUGAGAUGGCUUUGCGGUGCAUUAGCUAGUUGGUGGGGUAAAGGCCCACCAAGGCGACGAUGCAUAGCCGACCUGAGAGGGUGAUCGGCCACACUGGGACUGAUACACGGCCCAUACUCCUACGGGAGGCAGCAGUAGGGAAUCUUCCGCAAUGGGCGAAAGCCUGACGGAGCAACGCCGCGUGAGUGAAGAAGGAUUUCGGUUCGUAAAGCUCUGUUGUUAGGGAAGAAUGGAUAUGUAGUAACUAUACAUGUAAGAGACGGUACCUAACCAGAAAGCCACGGCUAACUACGUG
rnacentral:rRNA from 1 species